AUGCGACAGGGUAAAAGUAAACUCAUGGGCACUCCCCAGAUGGUGUAUGAAAAGCAUCACAGAUCAUCACAAAUCAUUUCUUUCUACACCACGUACACACACAAAUGGAAAAGGGGUGUUGAAAGCAUACCGCUCAGAGGGAUAAGAAAUUUCCCUUUAUGGCCGGAGCCGAGUCCAGCUGAGAAACGCAAGACCCAGGCCCCGCAGCAGCAGGCGGACGAGGCGGAACACCGAGCGCAGGGCCUGCAGCGGGGGCUGGACCUGGACCAAGAGCGCGAGCGGCGCGAGAAAGCUGAAGGUGAUGGGGCCGCCCUCAACCGACGCACCCAGCUCGUUGAGGAGGAGUUGGACAGGGCUCAGGAACGACUGGCCACGGCCCUGCAGAAGCUGGAGGAGGCGGAAAAGGCUGCAGAUGAGAGUGAGAGAGGAAGGAAGGUGAUAGAAAACCAGGCCAUGAAGGAUGAGGAGAAGAUGGAAAUUCAGGAGAUGCAGCUCAAGGAGGCCGAGCACACUGCGGAAGAGGCUGACCGCAGACACGAGGAGGUAGCUCCUAAGCUGGUCAUCCUGGAGGGUGAGCUGGAGAGGGCAGAGGAGCGUGCGGAGGUGUCUGAACUAAAAUGUGGUGACCUGGAAGAAGCACUCAAGAAUGUUACUACCAAUCUGAAAUCUCUGGAGGCUGCGUCUGAAGAGUAUUCUGAAAAGGAGGACAAAUAUGAAGAACAAAUGAAACUUCUGUCUGACAAACUGAAAGAGGCUGAGACCCGUGCUGAAUUUGCAGACAGAACGGUUGCAAAACUGGAAAAGACAAUUGAUGACCUGGAAGAGAAACUUGCCCAGGCCAAAGAAGAGAACGUGGGCUUACAUCAGACACUGGAUCAGACACUAAACGAACUUAACUGUAUAUAAGCAAAACAGAAGAGUCUUGUUGCAACAGAAACUGCGGAGCUCCGUGGGUCUUUCUUUUCUCUUGUAUGAAGUUGCUUUUGUUAUUGCCAUCUUCGCUUUGCUGGAAAUGUCAAGCAAAUUAUGAAUACAUGACCAAAUAUUUUGUAUCGGAGAAGCUUUGAGCACCAGUUAAAUCUCAUUCCUUCCCUUUUUUUUUCCAAAUGGCACCAGCUUUUUCAGCUCUUAUUUCUUCCUUGAGUUGCAUUUAUUCCUAAGGUAGGUAGGGUAUUUCCUAGUAAGCAUAUUUUCUUAAGACAGAGGCCAUUUGGUUCCUGGGAGAAUAGGCAGCCCCACACUUUGAAGAACACAGACCCCAAUAUCUAGUCGUGGAUAUAAUUAAAAUGUUAAAGACCAUAACCUUUUGGGUCAACUGUUGGUCAAACUAUAGGGACCAUCACAUGGGUAGGGAUUUUCUAUCUGAAGCCAAUAAAAGAGCUGGUGGGGGCCAGGAUGGCUACUGUGGGAAGUCAUAACCCACAGAUAGAUUAAACUAAGAAUCCUGGCCCUUCUCCACACUCCACCAUGCAGAACAAACAUCCUUUCAAGCAGUCAAGGUAGAAUGCUUCAGUAAUAGUCAUAAUUACCCACAUAUAGUAGUUAAUAGCUGGUAAUUAAUAGAUCCACGAUGUGAUGUUCUUUUGAGUAUUUCCUUCAUUCUAAAGUUGUUCUCUGGCCAGGCACAGUGGCUUUCACCUGUAAUCCCAACACUUUUGGAGGCCAGAUCACUUGAGGUCAGGAGUUCGAGACUAGCACAGCCAACAUGGCAAAACCCUGUCUGUACUAAAAAUACAAAAAUUAUGGUGACACCUGCCUGUAGUCUCAUCUACUCAGGAGGCUGAGGCAGGAGGAUCACUUGAACUCAGGAAGAGGAGGUUGCAGUGAGCCGAGAUUGCACCACUGCACUCCAGUCUGGUCAACAGAGUGAGACUCCAUCUCAAGAAAAAAAUAAAAUUAAAAAGUUCUCUGAAAAGCAAAUGUCUCAUUCUAGUAAUGACCCACUCAGCCGGAAUAUGGUGGAGUUCAGUCCAAUUCAGGUCAGCCAUAUCUGAAAGACUACGAGUCAUUCAUAAGUUGAGCAAAAGCAUUUCUAUCUAUUAGCAGAAAGGGCCUGUCUGGCAGCAGAGAUUAAAAAUGGGCCCAACUUCAUUUCCAUACUUCAGGGAAUAGCAAAUUGAAGAUUUACUUAUCUAGGACUUGAAUUCCUUCUUUGGGACCAAGUUAAUAAAACACCAAGAAACUCCUGAUUAAACUGGAUAAUGAAGGAUUCUGUAGACAGGGCUGCACGUAUCGGCUUUGUUUGACUUCUCUUUUCUCAGUUAAUGUCUCAGAGCUGGAACAUUCCACAUUCCCCAGCAGCGUGUGGGGGCCGAGUAAAGUUUACAAUUCCGACU